UAGACCUCAAAUCAGGUAGGACUACCCGCUGAACUUAAGCUAUCAAUAGCC
rnacentral:rRNA from 1 species